UACGGAGGGUGCAAGCGUUAUCCGGAUUCACUGGGUUUAAAGGGUGCGUAGGUGGGCUAGUAAGUCCGUGGUGAAAUCUCCGGGCUUAACCCGGAAACUGCCAUUGAUACUAUUAGUCUUGAAUACCAUGGAGGUGAGCGGAAUAUGUCAUGUAGCGGUGAAAUGCUUAGAUAUGACAUAGAACACCAAUUGCGAAGGCAGCUCGCUACGCGGUUAUUGACACUGAGGCACGAAAGCGUGGGGAUCAAACAGG
rnacentral:rRNA from 1 species